ensembl:snRNA U6 U6 spliceosomal RNA
GUACUCACUUGGGCAGCACGUGUACUAAAACUGGAAUGGUGCAGAGAGAUUAGCAUGGCCCCUGCGCAAGGUGGACACCCACAUUUGUAAAGCGUUCCACAGUUUU